rnacentral:rRNA from 1 species
CAGCAGCCGCGGGAAUACGAAGGGUGCAAGCGUUACUCGGAAUUACUGGGCGUAAAGCGUGCGUAGGUGGUGGUUUAAUUCCGUUGUGAAAGCCCUGGGCUCAACCUGGGAAUUGCAGUGGAUACUGGAUCACUAGAGUGUGGUAGAGGAUAGUGGAAUUUCCGGUGUAGCGGUGAAAUGCGUAGAUAUCGGAAGAACACCGGUGGCGAAGGCGGCGACCUGGUCCUUGACUGACGCUGAGGCGCGAAAGCGUGGGGAGCAAACAGGAUUAGAGACCCCUGUAGUCCCUGUCUCUUAUACA